rnacentral:rRNA from 1 species
UACGGAGGGUGCAAGCGUUGUCCGGAUUUAUUGGGCGUAAAGAGCUCGUAGGCGGUUUGUCGCGUCGGCCGUGAAAUCUCCACGCUUAACGUGGAGCGUGCGGUCGAUACGGGCAGACUUGAGUUCGGUAGGGGAGACUGGAAUUCCUGGUGUAGCGGUGAAAUGCGCAGAUAUCAGGAGGAACACCGGUGGCGAAGGCGGGUCUCUGGGCCGAUACUGACGCUGAGGAGCGAAAGCGUGGGGAGCGAACAGG